rnacentral:rRNA from 1 species
GACGAACGCUGGCGGCGUGCUUAACACAUGCAAGUCGAACGGUAAGGCCCCUUCGGGGGUACACGAGUGGCGAACGGGUGAGUAACACGUGGGUAAUCUGCCCUGCACUUCGGGAUAAGCCUGGGAAACUGGGUCUAAUACCGGAUAUGAGCUCCUGCCGCAUGGUGGGGGUUGGAAAGUUUUUCGGUGCAGGAUGAGCCCGCGGCCUAUCAGCUUGUUGGUGGGGUAAUGGCCUACCAAGGCGACGACGGGUAGCCGGCCUGAGAGGGUGAUCGGCCACACUGGGACUGAGACACGGCCCAGACUCCUACGGGAGGCAGCAGUGGGGAAUAUUGCACAAUGGGCGAAAGCCUGAUGCAGCGACGCCGCGUGGGGGAUGACGGUCUUCGGAUUGUAAACCCCUUUCAGUAGGGACGAAGCGCAAGUGACGGUACCUGCAGAAGAAGCACCGGCCAACUACGUGCCAGCAGCCGCGUAAUACGUCUACUG